rnacentral:sRNA from 1 species
UCUCAUUCGAGGCGGCGUGUGUGUUGG